rnacentral:rRNA from 1 species
GACGAACGCUGGCGGUGUGCUUAACACAUGCAAGUCGAACGGAAAGGCCCUGCUUUUUUGCGUUUCUCGAUUGCCGAACGCGUGAGUAUCACGUGUGUAACCUCCCCUUCUCUUUCGGGUAACUUCACGAAACUGGGGCUAAUAUCGGAUAGGAUCUGCUGCUCCGUGGUGGGGGUUGGAUAGUUUCGGCGGUGGGGGUUGGACUCGCGGCUUAUGAGCUUGUUUGUGGGGUAGGUGCUGACCAAGCCUUUGACGGCUAGGCGGCCUGGGAGGGUUAACGGGCACAAUGGGACUGAGAGACGGACCAGACGGCAACGGGAGGCAGCAGGGGGGAAUAUUGCACAACGGGCGGAAGCCUGAGGAAGAAACGCUGGGUGCGGAAAGACGGCCUUCGGGUUGAGAACCGCUUUCGACUGUGACGAAGCGGGAGUGACGGUAAUGGGUAAAGAAGCACCGGCUAACUACGUG